rnacentral:rRNA from 1 species
UACGUAGGUGACAAGCGUUGUCCGGAUUUACUGGGCGUAAAGAGCGCGCAGGCGGUCGAUCAAGUCGAGUGUGAAAGCCCCCGGCUCAACUGGGGAGGGUCAUUCGAUACUGAUCGACUCGAAGGCAGGAGAGGGUAGUGGAAUUCCCGGUGUAGUGGUGAAAUGCGUAGAUAUCGGGAGGAACACCAGUGGCGAAGGCGACUACCUGGCCUGUUCUUGACGCUGAGGCGCGAAAGCUAGGGGAGCAAAUGGG